GAUUUCAACUGAAAAAGUCAUCAACAACAAAGUUGUAUAACACAUCAAUAUCUAUAACUUCUAUUUUGGUCGUUUCUUCAUCCGACAAAGUGAUAGUAACAUUGCUCACAAAAUUUAUAAAACUAUAACAGAUAUAAACUGAUGUAAAUUUUGUGAGCAAUGUUACUAUCACUUUGUCGGAUGAAGAAAUGACUAAAAUAGAAGUUAUAGAUAUUGAUGAGUUAUACAGCUUUGUUGUUGAUGACUUUUUCAGUUGAAAUC
rnacentral:pre_miRNA from 1 species